UACAGGGGGGGCAAGCGUUGUCCGGAAUCAUUGGGCGUAAAGAGCGUGUAGGCGGCCCGAUAAGUCCGCUGUGAAAGUCCUGGGCUUAACCUGGGGACUGCAUUUGAUACUGAUUGGCUUGAAUUCGGGAGAGGAUAGCGGAAUUCCCAGUGUAGAGGUGAAAUUCGUAGAUAUUGGGAAGAACACCGGUGGCGAAGGCGGCUAUCUGGACCGACAUUGACGCUGAGGCGCGAAAGCGUGGGGAGCAAACAGG
rnacentral:rRNA from 1 species